AUUCCAGGGGGGUUGAUACUCAUCAAUUGAGUUGCGAGCUGUGUUGAUAAAUAAGAAAUGCUUCAAAUUUGUGAUGUUUGAUAAAUGGAGCCAACGUCUUGGCGUGUAUAAAUUUAUGCCUGUCUUUUUCUUUCUGGGAGCAGCCAUUGAACUUUUCAUGAUCAAAGUGCGUGUAGGGAAUGAAACAUUUUGUAAGUCUAUUAUUAAAAAGACUCCCCGAGUCCGCUUGACGAGUAAAAUCAUCUGGCGUUAGACAGAGUACAGUAAUAAUGAAAGUAGAGCGCAUUUGGGUGCUUUCCAGCUUAAUGGUUAAAGUUUUUUUUAUGGAACCCUGAGCACCAGACUGUAAAGUUUGUCCCCACACUUUUGAGUGCUGUUUGGAGUUUCCAAUUUCCAUCUAGGAACUUAUGUGUCCCUACACAGAAAUCAAGCUUUAUAGUCUUGGCAUAGCC